rnacentral:rRNA from 1 species
UACGAAGGACCCAAGCGUUGUCCGGAAUCAUUGGGCGUGAAGCGCGCGUAGGCGGCCAGAUAAGUCCGGUGUGAAAGUCACAGGCUCAACCUGUGAAUGCCGCUGGAAACUGUCUGGCUAGAGUCCGGAAGGGGCGAGUGGAAUUCCUGGUGUAGCGGUGAAAUGCGCAGAUAUCAGGAGGAACACCAAUGGCGAAGGCAGCUCGCUGGAACGGUACUGACGCUGAGGCGCGAAAGCGUGGGGAGCGAACAGG